UGGGGAAUCUUGCGCAAUGGGCGAAAGCCUGACGCAGCAACGCCGCGUGCGGGAUGAAGGCCUUCGGGUUGUAAACCGCUUUCAGUGGGGACGAAUUCAGACGGUACCCACAGAAGAAGCCCCGGCCAACUACGUGCCAGCAGCCGCGGUAACACGUAGGGGGCGAGCGUUGUCCGGAAUCAUUGGGCGUAAAGAGCUCGUAGGCGGCUCAGUAAGUCGGGUGUGAAACCCCUAGGCUCAACCUAGGGACGCCACCCGAUACUGCUGUGGCUAGAGUCCAGUAGGGGAGUGUGGAAUUCCCGGUGUAGCGGUGAAAUGCGCAGAUAUCGGGAGGAACACCAGCGGCGAAGGCGGCACUCUGGGCUGGAACUGACGCUGAGGAGCGAAAGCGUGGGUAGCAAACAGG
rnacentral:rRNA from 1 species